rnacentral:ncRNA from 1 species
GACGCCAGUGCAGGAGAGUCCGGGUCCGCCCGGCGCCGAAGGAGCAACCCCCCGGAAACUCUCAGGCAAAAGGACUGCACGCCGGCG